rnacentral:rRNA from 1 species
ACUCCUACGGGAGGCAGCAGUGGGGAAUAUUGCACAAUGGGCGCAAGCCUGAUGCAGCCAUGCCGCGUGUAUGAAGAAGGCCUUCGGGUUGUAAAGUACUUUCAGCAGUGAGGAAGGCGGGUACGUUAAUAGCGUGCUUGUUUGACGUUAGCUGCAGAAGAAGCACCGGCUAACUCCGUGCCAGCAGCCGCGGUAAUACGGAGGGUGCGAGCGUUAAUCGGAAUUACUGGGCGUAAAGCGCAUGCAGGUGGUUUGUUAAGUCAGAUGUGAAAGCCCGGGGCUCAACCUCGGAAUUGCAUUUGAAACUGGCAGACUAGAGUACUGUAGAGGGGGGUAGAAUUUCAGGUGUAGCGGUGAAAUGCGUAGAGAUCUGAAGGAAUACCGGUGGCGAAGGCGGCCCCCUGGACAGAUACUGACACUCAGAUGCGAAAGCGUAGGGGAGCAAACAGGAUUAGAUACCCUGGUAGGAUAGCG